CACUUUGUUUUUUUUACAGAUCCAGAGCUGUUUUCUUCAGCUCAAACGAAGCUGACAGCUGGAAAGUACAAAAUACAUUAUAUUCUGAAGUGAUUUGUUCAUUUAUUAGCCACAGCCUGAUUUGGAUAAUAUUUAAUUCUUGAAAACAUGAUCAAAUUUUUUGGGAUUGUUUGAUUUCUAGAGUGAUGAUAAGGGAGACACUCUGUAAAACUUUGACCAGUGGCGGAUCUUUCCGUGGGGGUAUGGGGAUCCCCCCCAAAAAAUGUUGGUUGGAAAUUUACAUUACUGAUGAUCCGAUUUCCGACGCUCCUCCACGCAACUUCGUUGUCCGACUGCACCUGAAUGUACCAAUGACGUUACUUUGAUCUUUUGACUGUAUUUCGUUUGGGUUUGAAGAAGCUUUGAAGAUGUUUCCUGAUGCCAGAGAAGACGAGCAGCUUUGGACCCUAGCGGUAAGAAGACUGUGGCCGUUUCUCAGUACCUAACUGUCAGCACUUGGUUCUCAGGUGCAUGGAUAUGAAUCAGAUACAGAGGCCUUGGUCUGGAUCGUUUGGAACAUCUAAUCUGAUGGAAUGAGAGCUCCAGAGAACAUGAACAUCCAGCUGUGGUUGUCUAAAGAGUCUUCUCUCCUUCAUCACUGUGAGCAAGAGCAGCACUGAUGUCCUCCUCAUCCUUCCUGUAAUAACAAUAAUGCUGCAGAUUCACCUCCUCUUUUCAUAAUACAACUUGUCUUGUGACUGUUCAGUUUUUAUACAUCAAUGUCAGCAACACAUUAGCUAUUUCAUCCAUUUAUUACAUGUCUUAACACAUCUUUACAGUUCAGAAUGGUUAAAGAAUGUGCAAUAAAAGAAAUAAUGGUG